rnacentral:ncRNA from 1 species
AUAUAAGCAAUGAAGGAGAUCCGUAUUUAUAAAAACAGUCCCAGAGAGUCGGUGAUUUGCUGAAAGCCGAUACUGUUGAUAAAUAACCAAUCACUCCUGAGCUGUAUCUUUGAACAUUCUAAAGAAGUAAUCUUCUUUGGCUAUUAAAAGAUACCGACUAGUCUCGUUAUAGACUUAGGUUUGUUGGAACUGAAAUAGAGGUACUCAAUUUACUUUGAGUACAAUCAAGGUGGUACCGCGGGUAAUGCUCGCCCUUGAA